AAAAGAGAGGGAAGGAGCUACUACAAAUGACAAAAACGUAGCUUUUCUAAAAGUGAUUAGAAUGUGCUUGAGGAUAUGAAUAUUCAUUGGUGAGGCACUGAGUAUGUGCUAAAAAUGUACAUAUUUUCUUUGCAAGAGAAAGUAAUAACAUCACUUUGUAAAAAUUCCUGGGUAUCUAAGAAGUAUUUCCAUUUUCUCUGUCUUUAUAGGAGAAAAUAGGAGGAAAAAAGCCCCAUAACCAAGCCCAAGAGUGAGUUUCUACAUGUGGCUUAUUACAUGGCCGUCUUAAUGCUAGUGCUGGCAGGAGAGAAGGGUCUGGACAGUAGCGUCCAGUGUCUUUGAAUUAGCAUUCCUUGAUGAAGUGGACUUAAUACUCGCAUGCAUGUGAUUGUGGGCCAAGUUGGAGGUUUAUCUGUGUCAUUCGUAUGAAGUAGUAAGUUCAUCAGGAUUGAAAACUAGAAUUUCCACAGGAAGUGUACAGAUAUGAGGAAAUGUACCUUUAAUGUUGAAAUAAUUCGAGAUCAGAGUGCCAAUAUGGCCAUGCUCUUGAAAAGGAAGAACUGAAUACACAGCUCAUUUACCAAGGCAAAAGUGUUUAACUAUGACCUUAAGCACAUGCUGCUGCUUGUUAGUUCAACUGAAGCUACACAAACAUGAUAAAAGGUAACUGACCUUUAUUCUGUGCUCUAGGUAUCUGUUUGAUGAUGAUCUCACUUUGUCCAGGGGUUUAACAAGUGUUUACUUUAUAACU